CAGCAGCCGCGGGAAUACAGAGGGUGCGAGCGUUAAUCGGAUUUACUGGGCGUAAAGCGUGCGUAGGCGGCUAAUUGAGUCGGAUGUGAAAUCCCCGAGCUUAACUUGGGAAUUGCAUUCGAUACUGGUUAGCUAGAGUGUGGGAGAGGAUGGUAGAAUUCCAGGUGUAGCGGUGAAAUGCGUAGAGAUCUGGAGGAAUACCGAUGGCGAAGGCAGCCAUCUGGCCUAACACUGACGCUGAGGUACGAAAGCAUGGGGAGCAAACAGGAUUAGAGACCCCGGUAGUCCCUGUCUCUUAUAC
rnacentral:rRNA from 1 species